CAAUAUGGAUCAAAAGCUAAGAACGCAGCAUCUGUGCUGCAACGCUUUUGUGACCUACGUCCUGUAGG
rnacentral:sRNA from 1 species